rnacentral:rRNA from 1 species
GUGGGGAAUCUUGCACAAUGGGCGAAAGCCUGAUGUAGCCAUGCCGCGUGAAUGAUGAAGGCCUUAGGGUUGUAAAAUUCUUUCGUCAGGGAUGAUAAUGACCGUACCUGAAGAAGAAGCCCCGGCUAACUUCGUGCCAGCAGCCGCGGUAAUACGAAGGGGGCUAGCGUUGUUCGGAAUUACUGGGCGUAAAGCGCACGUAGGCGGACUUUUAAGUCAGGUGUGAAAUCCCGGGGCUCAACCUCGGAACUGCAUUUGAAACUGGAAGUCUUGAGAUCAGGAGAGGUUAGCGGAAUACCGAGUGUAGAGGUGAAAUUCGUAGAUAUUCGGUGGAACACCAGUGGCGAAGGCGGCUAACUGGACUGAUACUGACGCUGAGGUGCGAAAGUGUGGGGAGCAAACAGGAUUAGAUACCCCAGUAGUCC